rnacentral:lncRNA from 1 species
GCGCAUUUUGAUAUAAGAAAUGCUAACCCGUCCUUCAUUAUAAUUUGUACUACGCGAACCAGCUAUCCUGAUUCUUGAGUCAACUAGGCUGAGUUUCUCUUGGAAAAUUUCGACCAAUCUUUGACUUACAAACAUUUUUUGAUAUAAAUCGACUUAGAUGGUUCAGAAUUGCCUAUUGGUGCAGAAAGUUUUGGAACAGGGGAAUUUCAAAGCGCAUUUUGAUAUAAGAAUUGCUAACCCGUCCUUCAUUAUAAUUUGUACUACGCUAACCCGCUAUCGGGAUUCUUGAGUCAACUAGACUGAGUUUCUCUUGGAAUAUUUCGACCAAAGUUUGACUUACAAACUUUUUUUUAUAUAAAUCGACUUAGGAUGCUUCAGAACUGCCUAUUGGUGCAGAAAUUUUUUGAACGGGGG